AGAUCUCAGAAGUUCUGAUCUCUCAUCUCUGGAAGACUCAUCUCGAAGACUCGACUCUCAUCUCUCACCUCUCGCCCCAAAUCGAUCUCUCUGCUCUCAUCUCUCAGUCUCAGACCAGAUCUUAGAUCUUUAUUCUUUCAUCUAUCACCCCUGCCCUGACCCUCGUAUCUCUCACUCUCUGCCCUAUUGCAUUUGCCCUAACCCAAAAGCCAGCCAAAGGCCCAAAACUCCAGUCCGGCAGUCCGCUCCGCCUCCGGACGGACCUCCUCCGAUCUCCUCCGACGGUCUUAUAUCUCCGAAGUCCGAGGUAUCUACUUAUAUACUUCUUGUGAAUAGUUAUAGAACCAGAAGUAUGUGGUAUAGAAACUUGAAAAUUAAUGACCUCUGUUACUGGCCUGCAUGUUGAUGACCUGCUUCUCCUGUGCUGUAGUUAUGGUCUUAUGGAAUUAUGAUUGCUGUUGCGUUUCUUCACUGCUUCCGGCUUCUGCUGUUCUGUUGUUAUACUUGUGCUUCACCGCUAGCCUUCAGUGUCUACUGCCUAGAAUUUGUGAAAUUAUGGAUUAUGUACUGAAAAUUUGAAUCGCUUGGGCUUUGCUGGCUACAUGUUGUUGACAGUUAUACAUUUGAUUCAGUUGAUUGCUUACAAACUAUUAAAUUCGGUUAUUAUCCAAAUAACCAAAUAACUAAUUCGGUUAUUCGAUUAUCGUAUAUUUCGGUUAGUAUUUCAGAUACCUAAAACAGUUGAAUGCUUUCGGUUAUAACCGAAAAGCUAAUUCGGUUCGGAUAAUAACCGAAUGCUCACCCCACUGUAGAGGUGACAGAUAAGUUGAUUAAAUUAAUAAUAAAUAAUGGGUCGGAUAACUAAUGAAUAAUGUUUGAUGAGUUAUAAAUAGGUAUAUUUUAUGAAUAAAACUCAUCAAGUCACAUAUAACCGAGACAAGUAUAAGAAAUAAAUCAAAUUCCAAGAAUUUUAUGCCUCCACAUCAGCGCAAUGCACUCCUCACCAGGAGAGCAAAUCAUCAAAUAGAUUUCAUUAUUAUAAAAUUAAUUUCAUAAUAAAUUAGUUAAUUGAUGCUUAUACUCUCCUCUCAGCUUGCGUAUUAACAUUGUAUUGAUGAAUUACCAAAGUUAACUUCAAUUAUUUCACUUUACCCAAUUAAUUUAAUGACUUAUGAAUUUAUCUAUCUAAUUUAUUUAUUGUUAUUCAUUUAAUUUAAUUUAUUUAAAAAUUUAUUAAAAUAAAUAAAUAAUUUAUCUAUGGGGGAAUGAUCCAUAACAUCUAUUUGUUAUGGAUCACUUUUGCAUAUAUCAUCUAUACCGUCCGUUAGAUGUUAUGGAUCAAAAAGUGGCAUAUAUCAUCUAUACCGUCCGUGUAAUUAAUGAAUGGUUAAGAUCUGUUAUGUUAUGGGAACACGCUAGUAUUAUUAGCUGACGUGGUUAUACUAAAAUUAAGACCCUUAUGCCCCCAUUUAUCAGCCGAAGUCAUUAAUUAGCGGAAGGAUAUUGGAAAAGGUAACAAAGGUAAUACGCUUCUGCGAAUUGGGUAAAUUGGUUAGAACCCUAGAACAGAAAAUUCAGCAAAUCGGCGAAUGCUACAGUCUAAAUCGGCGAAUGCUACAGUCUGCGAAUUGGGUAAGGUAACAAAGGUAAUACGCUACAGUCUGCGAAUUGGGUAAAUUGGCUAGAACCCUAGAAGCAAAAUACAGCUAAUUGGCGAAUUGGGUAAUUGGUUAGAACCCUAGAAGCAAAAUACAGCAAAUCGGCAACGAGUUUGGCAUAUUUAAUCGGUAAGUUUGUUAUUAAACCUCCAAAAUCUGAAGGUGAUGCGAUUCUCCAUUAAUUCUUGGUCGAAACUAUACUAUGAAUCUCUGAUGCUAUUUUUGGUUCGGCAUAUAGGAUAUUUUUGGUUCGGCAUAUAGGAGGUCAGGAGCUUCUAGAAACUAAAUUGUAGCUGUAAUUGGCAUUGAAACUUCAACAAAGCACUAAUAAACAGGAAAAUCACAGCAAAUCAUAGGUAUGUUAUGAGUUUAUUUUAGAUUUUCGUAAAAUUGGUUCAAUACUAGAAUUUUAGGGUUAUAGUUGCACUAUACGUGGACUGUUGAUUGGGAUAUAUAUAGUGGGGGACUAGUUGUUUUGUGGAGUAAUAAGGGAGAGAAAUACAUGGCUUGAAACAUUUAUCUAUAUUAAUGAUAUAUGUUUUUUUUAGAAUGCACAUAAGAUGUUUGUAAAAGUGUCUCUUUGUGGAGUAAUAUCUCUGUUUUUUUUCAAUUUUGUACUUGCAGCUAUGAAGUUUCAUAUACAUUCUAGAUUGUUCAAAUUGUUUUACCAUCUCUAGUGAAGAACGGAGUGCAACUGAACAUAGAUGAAAUCAUCGGCAAAUAUUUACCAAUACUAAAACAAACGUUUGAUAUCACGAGUGGUGUAUCAUGUUUUAAAACUGCAGUGCUAGGCAAUCAAUGAACAAAAGAGCUGCAUAAUGAUAUUUGGAUGAUAUAAUGGAAAGACCCAAAAAAAAUAUGACAGUUGGGUUAAGAGCCUCACCUGUAAUGAAAUAUAUUCAAAGUUAAAAAAGUCAUCGAUGAUGUUGGUUCAUUUUACAAUAUACAGAUACCAGUGACUAGACCCAGAUUUGACCAUUAGAUCUGCAUUAAUCCCCUUCUCCUGUUCUGUUUAGUUUUCCCAACUAGUGUAAUCACCUUCUUUUUCUACUAUAUGAAUAGAGCUGAAUGCUUACUCUGGAACUGAAUCCGGUUUAGAAGAUGAACUAUUCUCUGCGUCUUCUCUUCUCUGCACUUGGUUAGCGGAAUUAAACAUAUCAGUUUCUUAUUCUGUUGAUGACGGUUAAUAAGUUUUGUUUGAUGAAGUAACUACUAAUUUUUUUCAUCUAUAUAUCUGAUUAAAUUCAUUUCAUAAAUUCACAGGUAUCAUUUUGUUCAUUUCCUACCUUUUUGGUUGAGAGAUUGUUCAGCAGUUCCAACAAAUCUUUUGACUCUAAAUUUGAUUGCUUCCAUACGAAUGAUAUUUGUAAACUAUUUCCAUAUUUCAAUUAGCAGCUAAAUGGGGGCAUAAGUGUCCUAAUUUUAGUAUAACCACGUCCGCUAGUAAUACUAGCGGACGGCGUGUCCCCAUAACAGAUCUCAACCAUUCAUUAAUUACACGGACGGUAUAGAUGUUAUAUGCCACUUUUUGAUCCAUAGCAAAUAGAUGCUAUGGAUCAUUCCCCUUUAUCUAUUUAAUUAUAAAUUUGUUGACACGUUAACGGUUAAUGGGCCUCUACAUCGGUCUAACGCUCAACUUGAUUUUUAGAUAUAAAAAAAAUUGAUAUUGUUUUUAAUAUUUUCAUUCAUUUAUUCCAAUCUCCACAUGAGCGAAAAGUAAAACUGAUCUCCAAGUUUUCUUCUUCUUUCUCUCCCUUUUCACCUCUCCCUCUCCUUAUGAACUCGAGAAAUCAAACCCAAUCUUCUUCCCACCCAAGCCCUAGUUGCAGAAAGGAUAAAAAAAAGAAAGUUGUGCCGCAUUAAUCACGACAUCGAUCGAGGUAAUUACGGAUAGUGGAAACCAAGAGAAAAAGAAGAAAAACAAAGCUGCCUUCAAAUUAUUCUGCCGUCGACCAAGCUGGUAUUACCCUUUACAUUUGAACUGAUACAACACAAUUUGAGAAAAUUUAAAGUCCCCAAUCCUUCUUGUUACUUCACUCAUUCUCUGAUUUGUGUGAUUUAUUGUAGUAGAACUGUUUCGCUUCACUUAUUACUCAAUUUUGAGUUACAAUGUACUUAUAUACAAAUGAGGAGUUUAUGAAUAUGGCAUCUAAAUUAUGUUUUGUGAUUUAUGGGUGGACUUUAUGUAUAAAUUGGAGAUGAUAUAGUGUGUAUAUUGUUUAUAUGGAUCGGGUUCAAUUUUGUACUCCCUCUGUCCUCAAAAACAUGUCUUCAAGUACAAUUUUUUUGUUACACAAAUCAAAUAUAAAACAUGUAUAAAGACUAGUUUACCCAAAAAAUAUACUUAAAUGAGGUCUACUACCUUUAGAGAAGACAGAGGUCCACUAUAAGUAAAAGUGGUACUUAUUUUAAUAUCUUUCAUCUACUUUAGUGUUCUUAAUUUAUGUGAAAUAUGUAUUUUGGACAUCCUUUUGAUGUUGGAGGGGAGUAAGUUUUAUUUUUAGUUAGAUUUUUUUUUAUAAAUUUUGAUGAUAAAUGAGUUUCUAUUGAAAAGAUAUUUUUACCCUUUUUUGUAUAGAACUAUUGUUUUACACUUCUUGUCGACAAUAAAGCUGAAUAUAAGAUUAUCUGAUGAUAGUACCCUUUUUGUGGUGCACAUAUAUCUCUAGUCAAAAUUAGUCCAAAGGGACAGUUUUGCACGAAAUUGAAAGUUUACCUUUGACAUUGUAAAAAUUAAAAUUUUAACGUCUAUAUAAGUAUAUUGCAAAUUUGUAUUAACAUGAGAGAGCAAUUUUGUGGUUUGCUGAUUUGCUCUUAGUUAAAGGAUUAGUUGGAGUAAGCUGCAUGACAAAGAAACUGUAGAAAGACCGUAAGGGCAACAAUAAAUAAAAGAGAAAAUAUGUAAAUAAAUUCUAUAUUACAAAGAAAAUGUAGAAAGACCGUACAGGCAACAAAAAAUAUAUAAAAGAGAAAAAGAAGAAAACAGUAUCUCUAUCUAACUUCAAAUUUCCCUUUUUAUGUUUCACCCGUUUGAAAAACUAUGGUGACUACAAAAGUUUAUGAGUAUUUAAUGGUUUUUUAUUGUCUUUUUAUAAUAGAUUUUUGGGUAUUUUUUUAACGGUUAUUUUUUGAUCUCUUAAUCAUGUAGUCUUUUUUAAGUUUUUCAUUCAUACUUUUUUCUCCCACUCUUAUUUCCAGUUCUCUUUUCCUGAUACUUACAUGCCUUCAAAAUUUUCUCCAUCAAUUUUUUAAUAAAUAAUUUUACUCUGUUACAUAUAAUUGUUUAGUUGUAGGAUAACAUGUAUAAUUGUUUGUUUGGUAGUAAUAUAUUCAUGAGCUCAUAUCCUUCAUUUUCUGGCACACGCUCGACGGCAAACCUUGUGACAACCUUUUCGCACUCUCUUUCUGUCCCUUAUUCUAUUACCCAAAAUCAUUUAAAAUAUUUCCCUCUAAUUUAUCUUUCUCCCUCCUUUUCCCUUUUCCUUCUUCUUCAUGACGAUAAUGGAAGAUUAUAGCCUUUAAUACUUUUCUUCUGCUAAAUGAUUAAACAAUAAAACUCAGCUUACCCCAAGAAGGUAGUGUAAUUUUUUUUAAAAAAGGCUUAAAAAGAGCAGCUAUACCUAUCUAUAAUAAGCGCAAAGACGACUAUCCGUUAAUGAUUCAAAAUGGGUAAUUUUUUUUAAUUUGGCUCAAGUUCUACUGAGUUGGUAACAAAUUAUCAAUUUAAAUGAACUAAAUUGACUUUAGUAUAAAUUAACUUGCGUAAAAGUAGAAUAUGAGUUAACUUCGUUUAUACGAGUCACCAAGAGUUAGGAAUGCUUUUCUCUCUCUCUCCACUAUCACUAAUAAUGGUGGACAUUCACAACAUCAUCAAUUCUGUUUCUCUCCGUAAAUUGCAUCAUCUGAUGUCGAAAUUGAACCAUCCUCUACUUCUUCUGAUCCAAACAGAAGAUGGCGAAUUCUUGCUUCUUUAAUUGAUUCCUUAAAAUAUGCUGACUGUCUAUUCUUUGGCUCAGAACUCCGACCACAACACGUCGAUGGCAAGGUAAGUAUAUAUGUAUAUAUUAAAUAUAUUCUUAUUUAUGUAUCAUAAUUUUAUCUUUUUCCCCCCUUUUUUUCAAGAUUGUUUUUUUUUAUUAUCAAGAUUGCAAGGAAGUUUACACGUACGGAACACGAACGUGGUCUAGACCACCAGGUCCUACUGUUUGCUACUCUUACUAUCUGACUAUUGGGUGGCUAUUUUUAAUUUUUAAUUUUUUUUUGGUAGAAUUUUUUUAAUUAUUGGAUGUGCGUUUGAUUCGAUAUAUUGGCAUUUCUUCUUUGGUUGGUGGACUGAAUUUGAUACCAGGGUUUAAUUUUUGCAUGAUAUUUGAUUUCGGGUUAGAUGUAAUAUUUGGAAGUUGGAACUUUUGGAGGUGGUUUCUUUUUUAAAAUAUUUGAAAUUGGGUUGGUGAUAAAUAAAAAGCUAGAAAUAAUGAACUUUUACUCGAAGUGAGGGGAACUAUUAAUGCUUUUCGGUGUUCACCGGUUUAGGGGUUGAGAAAAACAUGUGAUUUGGGUUCUGGGGGUAGGAAAUUAAAACUAUUUAGAUAGCUUAAUGAUACCUGACACACUCAC
rnacentral:lncRNA from 1 species